rnacentral:lncRNA from 1 species
UAAAUUUUCAAGUCUGAGUUUUGAUUUCACAUAUAAGUGGGUAAGAGAAAAUUGUGUCAGGAAGUUUAUAGUUCAGCUGUAUGAGAAUGAUAUCACAUUUCUUUACUUUUAAAAGGAAGUAUACAGAUAAGUAGGUUUUUAAAAUACCUCCUACUGUGCCAUUUUUAAGAUCUCUUUCUUUUUUCUUCAGGACAAUGAUGAAUCUAGAAUAUCUUGACAGCCAACUUAGAGGUGACAUCAGUACCUGUGGAAGGCCAGACUCCCUUGAGAAUUCAGAGUCUAACUGCAGUCUAAUGAAAGUGCAGUUUUCUUGUAUUCUGGGAUUUAAUGGUCCCAUUCCAAAGGAAGAAAGAAAAGGGGCUGAUAUGUAGCAUUUGCCUUAAAAUAGGACCAUACUGACAGAUGUCAAGCUACCAACUUGAGGCUACUGAACUAGAAACUGCGAACUGAUUCACACCAUAACUCCACCAGCUAGUGUGGGCUGACCCCAACAUAUUAAUACAACUGUUGCCAUAUUAUAAGUUAAAACUAACAAAUGUUAGAAUAUUUAUUCAUCUGUUAAAAAUAAUCCAGGCCAGCUACAUCAUCUGAGAAGCCUAGAACAAAAUGAAAGAGUGAGGUCUUUGUUUAAAAAAGCAGAAAAAUAUAUUAAAGUUACUAAAAUCAAAAUGCCUUUUUUCUUUUAUUUAUGGUUUUGCCAUUUUUGUAAAAUUUGCCAUUUAAUGUCAUGAUAAAUAAGGGAAAAUGAAUUUUACCAUUCAUCUUUGUUGUGCAAUGUCAGUUUUAAAUGCAAACAUAAGAAUAAAUGUAAUUGCACAGUGUGUAUUUAUUUCAUAGCUCAUAUGUACAUAAGUAUUUCGUUCUUACCAGAACAGCAGAAAUGCACAAAACUAACUCAAAUCUGUUUCCAUUUUACCUCUUGAUAUUUUACCUACAUUCUCUACCUUUGCCUUACUGAUUUGUAAGAAAGGAUUGAAGGGAAUAGAACUAUCCUAUCUUUUAUAUUCCUUUCAUGUCAUCAUGUCAGUAUAAGUGAUCUCCUGCCACCCAACCCUAGUCUUAUUCGUAGACGUAGUUUGUCUUAAAUUUGCCUUGAAACUCAUUGAAUCCCAAUGCAUUGUGGGUCUACCAGAGCUCUGUUUUCAGGGACAUUGUGAAUGCUCUGUAGUAACAGUAUUGCAAGGAAUGGUGAACUUGUGGAUUGAGUAUAUGUCCUCUGCUUAGGCAUAUGCUUUAUUUUCCCAUUGGACUUCACUUAUAAAAUACAAAUUCAAAGACAAAAGUAAGAAUUUCAAGAUGGCAACACAGCAGAGCAUUAAACAAAGCAUGAACCCUUUCUGAGUACGUGGCCCCUGUGAUACUUCACUGGCUGCACACCUAUGAAGUCAGCCCUGAAAAUAGCAAUAGCAAAAUCAUUCCAUGUUAAUGUAAAUAUUUUCAGAAGGAAUAAGUGUGUUUUCGAAAAGUAUAAGAAAAGUUACAUUGUUUUGCACUUUUGCAAAUAUCUUUACUGCCUAGCUUAAUAGAAGACAGCUGGAGCCUCAUGUCUAUUUCUGCAUUCAAUAGGU